rnacentral:rRNA from 1 species
AGUGAACGCUGGCGGUAGGCCUAAUACAUGCAAGUCGAACGGCAGCACAGUAAGAGCUUGCUCUUACGGGUGGCGAGUGGCGGACGGGUGAGGAAUACAUCGGAAUCUACUUUUUCGUGGGGGAUAACGUAGGGACACUUACGCUAAUACAGCAUAUGACCUACGGGUGAAAGCAGUGGAUCUUCGGGCCUUGCGCGACUGAAUGAGCCGAUGUCGGAUUAGCUAGUUGGCGAGGUAAAGGCCCACCAAGGCGACGAUACGUAGCUGAUCUGAGAGGAUGAUCGGCCACACUGGAACUGAGACACGGUCCAGACUCCUACGGGAGGCAGCAGUGGGGAAUAUUGGGCAAUGGGCGAAAGCCUGAUCCAGCCAUACCGCGUGAGUGAAGAAGGCCUUCGGGUCGUAAAGCCCUUUUGUUGGGAAAGAAAAGCAGCAGGAUAAUACCCGGCUGUUCUGACGGUACCCAAUGAAUAAGCACCGGCUAACUUCGUG